CCAGAUCCUCCGCGCGACGACAUCGCGCUGAACUCCCCCAGGGCAGGAAUGCAGCAAGGGUAGGUGUGCUCUGGCGGGUGUGCGGAGGGUCCCUUUU
rnacentral:SRP_RNA from 1 species